GAUGAACGCUAGCGGCAGGCCUAAUACAUGCAAGUCGAACGGUAACAUGAGUAGCAAUACUUGAUGACGAGUGGCGCACGGGUGCGUAACGCGUAUGCAAUCUACCUUUAACCGGUGAAUAGCCCGAAGAAAUUCGGAUUAAUACACCAUAGUAUGUUUGAGUGGCAUCACUUAAACAUUAAAUUUCCGACAGUUAAAGAGGAGCAUGCGUGACAUUAGCUAGUUGGUAAGGUAACGGCUUACCAAGGCAACGAUGUCUAGGGGAUCUGAGAGGAUUAACCCCCACACUGGUACUGAGACAGGGACCAGACUCCUACGGGAGGCAGCAGUAAGGAAUAUUGGACAAUGGUGGCAACGCUGAUCCAGCCAUGCCGCGUGAAGGAUGAAGGCCCUAUGGGUUGUAAACUUCUUUUGUACGGGAAAAAACCUUCUUACGUGUAAGAAGCUGAUUGUACUGUAAGAAUAAGGAUCGGCUAACUCCGUGCCAGCCGCCGCGGUAACAC
rnacentral:rRNA from 1 species